GAUGAACGCUAGCGACAGGCUUAACACAUGCAAGUCGAGGGGCAGCGCGGGAGUCAGCUUGCUGACUUCUGGCGGCGACCGGCGCACGGGUGAGUAACACGUAUGCAACCUGCCCGCCACAGGGGGAUAACCGGGAGAAAUCCCGACUAAUACCGCGUAGUCCGGAUGGAGGCAUCUCCGUACGGGGAAAGGAGCGAUCCGGUGGCGGAUGGGCAUGCGGCGCAUUAGCUAGUCGGCGGGGUAACGGCCCACCGAGGCGACGAUGCGUAGGGGUUCUGAGAGGAAGGUCCCCCACAUUGGUACUGAGACACGGACCAAACUCCUACGGGAGGCAGCAGUGAGGAAUAUUGGUCAAUGGACGAGAGUCUGAACCAGCCAAGUAGCGUGCAGGAUGACGGCCCUAUGGGUUGUAAACUGCUUUUAUAAGGGAAUAAAGUGGGAGUCGUGACUCCUUUUGCAUGUACCUUAUGAAUAAGGACCGGCUAAUUCCGUG
rnacentral:rRNA from 1 species